UUUUAAUAAAUUUCAUCUGCCUUUACUUUUGAAAAUAAAUCUACUAGAAAUUUAAAAGUACAUUCUAUUUCUAUUAGAUAGUAAUUCUGUAAAGCAUUCAGGUCUCAUUGCAUUUCACUUUCCCCCCUCUAGCACUGUUCCUCUAGCACAGUGCCUCUCAGUCUUUGAUAUAUGUUUGAGCCACCUGAGAAACAUUCAUACAGUAGCAUUCCCUCCGGCCCCAAGGUUCCGAGUGAAUUGUUUUAGUGUGGGGCUCCAGCAUCAUUAUCUUUUGAAGACUAUUCAUCUAAUAGGGAUUUCUUACCGCUCAUAUCAGAGUCUCAUAAGCUGUACUGAACUUCAAGACCACUUGAAGGCUUUUCCAAUCACGGAUUACUGUAUCCUGCUCCAGAGAUUCUGACUCAGUUUUCUGGGGUGGAGGUGAGCGAGAAUAUACUUUGAGAAUUUUUUUGAGUAUUUCUU
rnacentral:lncRNA from 1 species